ensembl:lncRNA PCBP1-AS1 PCBP1 antisense RNA 1
GGCGGCGAGGCGAGGCCUGCGGAGCGGAGGAAGACAAACAUAAAGAUGAAGUGCUUAAUUCAAGGUCACACAAUGUCGGGGAUGGACCUCCAGAUUUCCUUACUGACCUGCAUUAUCUUGUGGAUACCUGAGUGAAUUCCACACCACCCAUUUUAUAGAUGAAACCACUGAGACAUGGAGCAAUUGACUGAGUAGUCACUGCCCCACCCCUGCCUGGAGCCUCACACAUGACUCGCCUCCUCUCAGUGACCACAGGAAAACAAGCUCAGGGCUCCCACUGAUUGUACAUUAUGACCAAGUGUGUUGGGGACUUGAGAUGCGUACAUGAGUGUGAUGUUUCCUGCUGAAAGCACAGGUGUGCAGGGAGGAGUUGUGCCUCCCCAGGAUCUGUUUCCUAUGUAUUGAAAUAAGAGGAAUCCCAUCCAGAUUCUGUGGAGGUUUCCUUCCAUCCUUCUUAUGUCCCUUUUUCACACUGUCACUGGCCUGGCUUCUGGGAAGAAGAGAGAAAGGAUUAGAGAAAUAAAGAACUUGAGGAGGUGAGACGUGGUCUUGUAACACAGUGGUUAAGAAUGUGACUUUGGAGCCAGCCUGCUAGGGGCUGAAUUCUGACUCAGCCAUUUACUAACUGUGUGACCUUAGGGAGGAGGACCUGGUUGAUAGAAGAAUUUAUCUCGUAGUCUUAACAUCCACUGUAAUUCCAAACUUUGAGGACGAUAGAGAUCAGUGGGCUUUGACUGCCCAGCAUGCAGUCUCCAUUCUUAGGUGGGUUCCCAAGCCUGUAAAAUGUAAGCCUUAUGCUGCUGAGGGCCAUCUUGCCACCCUGAGGGAAACGCUGCCUGAGAAUGAAACAAGCAUAAGUAAAAGCUGAGCUGUGAGAUGGAGCAAGAUGAAGGCCACAUGACAUCUUUGGAGCACCUGGAUCUAACUGUGCCUUAAGCUAGUCUAACCCUGAACAUUUCAUCAUUUCAUUGACAUGAGCCCAGGUUUUCUUUUUUUUUGGAUGGAGUCUUGCUCUGUCGCCCAGGCUGGAGUGCAGUAGCUCAAUCUCGGCUCACUGCAAGCUCCACCUCCCGGGUUCACGCCAUUCUCCUGCCUUAGCCUCCCAAGUAGCUGGGACAACAGGCGCCCACCACCACUCCCAGCUAAUUUUUUGUAUUUUUAGUAGAGACGGGGUUUUACCAUGUUAGCCGGGAUGGUCUUGAUCUCCUGACCUCAUGAUCCGCCCGCCUCGGCCUCCCAAAGUGCUGGGAUUACAGGUGUGAGCCACUGCACCCAGCCCUCAGGUUUUCCCUUUUUUUACCCCUCCUUUUGAAAAUUUGAUGUGGAAUUUUGCCACCUGCAGCCAGAAGAGUUUUAACUAAUCAGUGCCAUAAAUUUUAUAUAGUUCUCCUUGCAAAAUGUGGAUCAGCCUUUCUCAGCAAAUCCUUUGUCAUAAAGUGCUGAAUUGUAAGUUUGUCAUGAGAAUCACAUGAGAUCAUGCAUGUGAAGAACCUGGCAUUAUCCUCCUCAUAGAAAAAAACCAGUAAAUAUUAACUACAGGAAGCAAGGAAGGAGUGGGGUGAGGGGAAGAAGAAGGGGUACUGAUUUAAAAGAACCCUGGAGUCCUAAGGAUAAUCUAGGAACCCUCAGACCCAAUCCGAUACCCCUAUUCUAAAUGCUCCUAGUGCCCUGUACCUUCCCCUCAUAAGCCUUCAUUAUCAUUGUAAUGAUAUGUUUAUGUAAUAUUUUGAUUAAUGUCUCUCCUUCACUGACCUAGCAGUUCUAGCAGGGCAGUGAUUUUGCUGUGUUGCAUCCCCAGCACCUAGUCUGGUAUGUGGCAUUCAGCAUAUGUUUAUUGAAUGAAUGGCCAUGUGGUUAUUCAGAUCCUCCUUGAUUAUUGGGGUUAGGAUUGUGGCAGAAGUGGCAAAAUCAGGGAGAGUAGUCCCUGUCCCCUCUGUAUCUUAUACACUGCCCACACUCCCAACACACAUACACAUACAGAGAAUUUUGUCUCAAUUAGAUAAUUAACUUCUGCUUGGUUGUAAACCAAACCACUGGUUCUUAAACUUUCAUUGGAUCAUUUUAUUGAAGAAUUAAAUAGUGUGGUUCUGGCCUAAUGUCUGGAAAGCCUUGCAGAGGAGUGGAUUAGGUCUUUGUGAUAAACAGGCAGCCUUCCCUGCUCCUGUGUCUUUAUAAAAUCUAUUUAACUGGAGUAGUCCACCCUCCCUCAGGCUCUUACAGGAAUAUGUUGGAGGCUGUAGGAAGGUGGGAAACCGAGAGGGAAAGGACUGGGCCGCUGGAGACUUCACUCAUUCCCUAGCAAGAAACAAAAGCAGUAAAAGGUGGCCCGAGGACAACCUGAAGCUCACUCCUUCAGCACUUUUGGCUGGAGGUCACUUGUUGGAGCCCCACUCAGAGCUCAGCACACCACCCCACCAGCAGCCUCCUCCUCCCAGCUGAGGCUGCAUUUCAUCCCUUCCCCCAGCCUGCUUUCCCUGAGAUAGGGGAGUGUUUCCCAGGGCCCAUGUGACUUCCACUGGCAAGUGACGAUUACCAAUGGUUUACUAGUCAGUGAAACUACCAAAGGCUUUUGUGCUGUAGUAAUCCUUUUCCUGUUUAAAACUCUGGGGAUUUUCUAAUGUUGCCAAUAGUUUUUCAAGUCAGCAAUUACUGUGUGGAUUAUGUAAUGGCUCGGUAUUA